CGUGACGCCAGACACCAAGGAAAGAUUAUGCCCCGUAACAAAAGAGAGAAAACGGAAGACCAUAAACAACUUCAAUUUGUGCAGCAGUAAGAAGGUCCAGUAAGGAGAUUCUAUCAGAGAACCUGCUGGAAAAUCGAGAUGUCUGGACAU